CAAGAGUGCUCAAAUAAGAAGAAAAAAACAAAACCCUAAUUAUGUCCCGAUCUUGUAAUAAUCUUUUCUUCAACUGCACAUCAGAUCAGACUAUCACUCGCCUUUGACUGCAUAUGCGGUUAUAAUUGGUGAUCAACAACGAUAAUACUCAAGAGGUUGUGCUGUUAGAACACUGGAUAUCAUUUGUUGACAGAGGGAAACAUAUAGGGUACAUGAGGAUGUGCUGUCAGAAUCUUGAAUAUCAUUUGUUGAUGUAGCCGGAAACGUAUAUUGAGUACAUGACUGCUUCGCCUUGUGGAGCAGCAUGGUUUUUUUUCGUCAGAAGGAACUUGAAGGCUCUAUUCCUGAUGGUGUGGUAGCUUAUAGAGAGAUAUUUGAAUCUCCGAUGUGCAUGAAUUUCGACGCAAUGCAAAGAUAGGUUGAUAUAAUUGCCGAAUCCAAGCUUCAUUUCAGAAACUUUGGCGUGCUUGAAUUUCGACACGGUACACAGAUUGGCUGAUAAUUUAUGAAUUCAAGCUUCAUCUCAGCAUUUCCUUAUGGGAGCGGAAGCUUAUAGAGAGAUACAUCAUACAUGAUUCCUUGGCAGCAAUUUUUGCUACUUAGCCCUUGAUGGUUCAACUCCCUUUUCUGGUCUGGCUAAUUCCUCCUGAAUGUCCUUCCCCUUCAAUGUUAAUAAAGAGCAAUAGAUCCUUCUUCAAAUCCAAGAGGCUAAAACCAUCCAAUUGAACUAAGCUCGAAAGAUUACGACAACAAUUUGGAACUUCUUUUCCCUUCAUUAAGGCAAACCUUUGGGUCUUGCCGGUUAACAUGUAUAUGAUCCAAAGUUUUGAGUGUUCUUAUCCAAUUUAUUAUUCCAUUCUAUCC